rnacentral:lncRNA from 1 species
GCUGAUGUAACCUCAGCGAUGGGAGCUUCUGCUGACCUAUUUUCUGCAUCUUUCUACACCAACAGCACUGAAAACCUUCCCCCAUCUAAAGGUGCGCUUUGAAGGUCACGGUGGCUGCUCAACCAACUGAGAAGCAUCCCAGAAACUCACCAAAUAGCACAGCGCUGCUGCCUACCCAUGAGCUCAGAUUUCCAGCAUUACAGUUUCAGGAUGCCGAACAUCGGGUUCCAGAACCUGCCUCUCAACAUAUAUAUCGUGGUUUUUGGCACGGCCAUCUUCGUCUUCAUCCUCAGUUUACUGUUCUGUUGCUACUUGAUCAGGUAAGAGAGCUGCCCUGGC